CAGUAGCCACGGUAAUACAGAGGAUGCAAGCGUUAUCUGGAAUGAUUGGGCGUAAAGCGUCUGUAGGUGGCUUUUCAAGUCCGCCGUCAAAUCUCAGGGCUCAACCCUGGACAGGCGGUGGAAACUACCAAGCUGGAGUACGGUAGGGGCGGAGGGAAUUUCCGGUGGAGCGGUGAAAUGCGUUGAGAUCGAAAAGAACACCAACGGUGAAAACACUCUGCUGGGCCGACACUGACACUGAAGACGAAAGCUAGGGGAGAAAAUGGGAUUAGAUACCCCGGUAGUCCCUGUCUCUUAUACA
rnacentral:rRNA from 1 species